UUCCCUCUCUGCACAGCCGUGCCCAAGCCUUGGCUCUAUUCAGCUUCCUCUGGAAAAGUACGCACUCCCCAACCCCUCCCGCGCCCCGCUAGGUUCCCGCCCUAUGCCCCUUUCCUCCCCCUUCCAGUUCCUCGCCGCCUGUCUUCCAGUGGCGGACAACUUGGGGCUCGGAGCGAGCGCCCUCCUGUGAGCAGAGAGCAGCGGGCAGCGGGGACAGUCGGGUUGGUUUUCUUGAGCCUCUGGCAGGGGCCUGCCGUGGGUCUGUGGUCUGGCAGUCAGGGAGUCCUUAGAAAGAGGAAGACAGAAUAGGGCGUCCCGGGAACGUCAGGGUAGGUGAUCUUUGGCUCCCCGCAAUCAGCCCUAGAAUCAAGCAACUCAGCUUCACAAUCGACAAACCUACCACAAAUUCUUCACCCACUGUCCCCGGCUGCUGCACCCCUGCACCUCCACGUCUGCCCCCUGCCCGGGGCCAGGGCCCAGCAGUCAUGACAGACACCCCAGUGGAGGAAUCCCUCUUCCAAAUCAUCCACUGCUUCCACCAGUAUGCAGCCCGGCAAGGCGAUGUGGAGACCCUGUCCCUGCAGGAGUUGCAGGCCCUGCUUGUGGACAACGUGCCCCGCUUCAUGGACAGCUUGGGCCGGAAGGAGCCGUACUAUAUCACAGAACUGUUCCAGGCUGCAGACAAGAACAAGGACAACCAGAUCUGCUUCGAUGAGUUCCACUACAUCUUGGGAAAGCUGGUGAAGGACUACCACCUGCAGUACCACCGGCAGCUGUGCGCUCACCACUGUGCUCAACACAGCCUCUACUAGAGGGAGCUCAGGCAGCCUCCUGCCCACCGGAGCCUGACCCAGGAGGAGGUGUGGCCUGCCUAUCAGGAACUGAAUGGAGAACCCAGCUGUGUGUGUCUCUGUGUGUGUGCACGUAUCUGUACAUGUCCGUGAAAAGGAGAGCAGUGUGAGAGAGAAUAAAGCAAUUUCAUACAUAUUUCCA
rnacentral:lncRNA from 1 species